rnacentral:rRNA from 1 species
UGAUGCAGCGACGCCGCGUGAGUGAAGAAGUAUCUCGGUAUGUAAAGCUCUAUCAGCAGGGAAGAAAAUGACGGUACCUGACUAAGAAGCCCCGGCUAACUACGUGCCAGCAGCCGCGGUAAUACGUAGGGGGCAAGCGUUAUCCGGAAUUACUGGGUGUAAAGGGUGCGUAGGUGGUAUGGCAAGUCAGAAGUGAAAACCCAGGGCUUAACUCUGGGACUGCUUUUGAAACUGUCAGACUGGAGUGCAGGAGAGGUAAGCGGAAUUCCUAGUGUAGCGGUGAAAUGCGUAGAUAUUAGGAGGAACAUCAGUGGCGAAGGCGGCUUACUGGACUGAAACUGACACUGAGGCACGAAAGCGUGGGGAGCAAACAGG